UACGAAGGGGGCGAGCGUUGUUCGGAAUUACUGGGCGUAAAGGGCGCGUAGGCGGUGUGUCAAGUCAGGCGUGAAAGCCCCGGGCUCCAACCUGGGAACGGCGCUUGAGACUGGCACGGCUCGAGUUCGGGAGAGGAUGGUGGAAUUCCCAGUGAUAGAGGUGAAAUUCGUAGAUAUUGGGAAGAACACCGAUGGCGAAGGCAGCCAUCUGGACCGACACUGACGCUGAAGGCGCGGAAAGCGUGGGGGAGCAAACAACGG
rnacentral:rRNA from 1 species